rnacentral:tRNA from 1 species
GGUCCUAUAGCUCAGUUGGUCAGAGCAUCUGACUCAUAAUCAGGGAGUCCUUGGUUCAAGCCCAAGUGGGACCAC